rnacentral:rRNA from 1 species
CAAUAGCGUAUAUUAAAGUUGUUGCAGUUAAAAAGCUCGUAGUUGGAUUUGUGGCGUACGGUGUGUUCCGGGCACUUGUUGUCUGAGUAACCUGCUGUUGCCAUCCUUGGGUGGAACCUGUGUGGCAUUAGGUUGUCGUGCAGGGGAUGCCCAUCAUUUACUGUGAAAAAAUUAGAGUGUUCAAAGCAGGCUUAUGCCGUUGAAUAUAUUAGCAUGGAAUAAUGAGAUAGGACUUUCUUGCUAUUUUGUUGGUUUGCGCGAAGAGGUAAUGAUUAAUAGGGACAGUUGGGGGUAUUCGUAUUCCAUUGUCAGAGGUGAAAUUCUUGGAUUUUUGGAAGACGAACUACUGCGAAAGCAUUUACCAAGGAUGUUUUCAUUAA